CUUUCAAAGUAUAUAAGAUAGUAUUUAAUCAGUGCAUUUUUAAUCUCAAAUCUAGGUGCACAAAAGAGAGAAAAGGCUGUACAGGAAGCUUGCUCAUCUUGAACCUGGACAAUUCUUCUUUUCUGGCUUGCUCAAGCAGUGAGUCUCAGCACUGUCUGUACUGAGAGGAGUAGCUCCCUCUAGCACUGGAUGGGUCAGAAUCAACAGCUCUAAAUUUUGUUUCUUUCUUCCUCAGGAUCAGGUCUUUGUUCUUCUAGGCAGUGGGGGCACAGGAAACCGAGUCUCCUCUCAAAGUUGAAACUGUUGCUUCCUCAGCACCUAAAACAAGAAUUGCUGCUCCCAGUCUACAUAGGACCAUAGCCUUUUAUUUUUAUUUUUUCCCCUGCAGUUUAUUCUAUUUAAAACCCUCAGUUAGUUGCUGCAAACAAUCCCUGAUCCCCUUGUUUGGGUGCUUUUGUUCACUUCUUGUUCUGUGUGUUGCCCUUCCCGUUGGCCUCUGUGAGGGGGAAGGCAGCAUACCAUGGAGAUUUCCUAGGGGAAAGGAGAUGUUUUUUGCAUGUUUUCUCUACUCCCAAAGGUCCUGUAGCAGAUCACAGUGGCACUUUCAGAAAUCUGUGGCUACAAGUUAAUUUUUCACUCUGUGCAAACUUACACAUACUCCUUGUGAAGCUGCAGGUCUGGUCAGGUAGCUGAUCUAUUUUAACCAUUAUCUAUUGAAAGGCCAGCACAGCACCUUGGGGCCUUUCCUGAGAGAGCCCCUCUCCCUGCUGGAGCAGAAGAAACCUCUCAAGUUGUGGCUAGGAGAGAGCUGCCUUGAAUGCAGCCCAGCAAAGAGUAGGGGAAGCAGAUGAGUUAUGCUGAGCGAAACACAUGAAGCUCACCUUGCAAGUGUGACAGAGAACUAUGCAAGUAUUUGCCUGUUUGUUUGGGAAGUUUGGUGCUUGUUUGCUCCCAGAGCCUCAAGGUUUUUCUCACUUUGGCUUUGCCUCCUCAUGAGCUCUCUCCAUCAGCAUGUGAAGCAGCAGCGGAUGGCUGGAAAGGCACCAGGUUUGCUGUAGCUCUCUAGUGCAAGGCACUGUCAGAUCAAUUGAAGAGCUCUCCUGUGAAGUGUGUGUCAGAGAGCUGUGUUUUGGAAAGGGCCUCCUGUGAUUCCUCACUUUGAGAGCAGCCGUGUGGAGCUCAGCUGAGAAGUCCAAUGUGGGAUUGGUACUGCAGCUGCCAAGGCCAUUAUUGGAGUGUUAUCUUCUCCACAUUGCACAGCCUGGGGAGAAAGCUGCAGAGUGCUGACAGACUGCAGAGACUUUCUGCUCUUCAAAGCCAUUUUCUGCACAGAGCACUCCUGUUCGUGAGGGCAGUACACAAAAGUCGGAUCAUUCUGCCCUCAACACAGAAAGAUGCAUAUCUAUCUGGAGGACCUUUCCUUGGUGCAGUGCAGUGUAGCAGCCAUUGCAAAAACCUCCAGAAGCAGAAAUGAAUGUAAGUAUCAACUGCAGUCUGAAACUCCUCCGUUGAACUUACUGCUUCAGUCACAGUGUUAGAAGAGAGAGGUGAAGGCUUUCUUUGUGACAAAUUGGAUGCUAGCUGCCCUCUCCAGCAAUGGAGAGAUAACAGGUCCUACUAAAACCACUUCUCAACUUCACAGGAACAGAUUUCUGCUGCUUCCCCUACAAAAUAACUUCCUUAGCUGAUAUCCUGCCCUGUCAGCAGGAGUUUUGGGAAUUGGUGGCCUUCAAGCAGAACCACCUUUGCAUGUUUUGUGAUACAGUAACACCAAACUGUUCAGAACUGCAUGCUUUCUCAUGUAAAAGGAAACUUAUUUUUUUUCUCCUUCUGUCUGGCUCCAAGCAACUAAAAUACCUCAGUAUUUGGAAGAUAAAUGCAUUUACAGCCAGGAGAGGCCUCCGGAGCCACAGGCUACACUGCUUCCUGCUCUCUGAAAACCUGAAUAAGGAGAGAUACUAUUGCUCCCAAAUACAACUCAGAGCUUGUUAGAACAGGGAAAGCUGCCCUGUUUGGCCCUUCCUGCAAGGGCAAGGGAUAGACUGGCUUAGGUGAAUGAGGCCAUCCCAGUUUCUGGGUUCACCCCAUGUUUUGUCCCAUAGGAUGAGGGAUCUUCUGUGGCUCCACCUCUCUUGUUCUGCAUAAGCUUCCUGUGUCUUGGAAUGGGUCUGUCUCUUGGGAAGGAGUUUUUUCAUCAGUUCCCAGGGUUUCUGUGAGUACUGCAUAAGCCUUCAUGGAAAACAUCAUGGGAUGCUCUGCUCAGGGCAUCUAGGAGGUCCAGCAGAAAAUGGCCUGGGAGGUCUGGUUAAGAUAGGUCACCAGUGAUGUGGUUGGGUUAUGUCUCAUCUUUCUGCUUCAGUGAUGCUUUUUCCCUCCCAUUUCUGGGUGAACACCGAGUGGCACAGGCAGAGUGCUGCACUCCUUUGCAAAGAUAAAGACUGGUAUAAAAGGAGGAGAGCUACUAGAAAACUGGAAGUUGGUAAAAUUGCUCCAGAAACUUUGCUGAGACCUCAACACCAAGCCCACAAAAAGCAAACCUGGGCAUUUGUGAGGUAAGCACAAAAUGCUGGCAGCUGGAAGCCCUUCAGGUUGUUCUGGAUACAGCUUCACUGUCGAGACUACGUUUCCAUUACAGACUGUGGUCCUUUGGCAGGACUUCAUAGGCAAUGCUUGGAGACACAAGGACACUUCUUGAUUGAAACAUGAAGGGACUUUGAGCUGACGUAAAACUUCAAAAUUCAGGCAAGGCAAUAGAGCCUUUUUGCAGUGGGUUCAGGACUCAUGGCCUCAUCAAAGCCCCCUCCAGAAGCAAGAAGAGUGCUAGAAGGAGCCGGCCCCUUACACAGCCACUGUGGUCAUCCCAUCUUAUAAUUACAUGAGACAAAGCUUGCAAGAUUUCACAGGUAAAGGUUUGCACCCAGGGGCAGGCUGCUGCCUCCUCAUGCUGCAUGCCAGCUUUCUGCAUUCUCUCAUCUAUCAAAGUAAUUAUGCCCAUUAUGUUUCUCCUUUCAGGUUUCACCCUCCCAAAUGUUAUUCCUCUGCAUUAAACCUGUGGGGGAAGUGAGUUACUGGGGAAAGUAACCAGAAGGCUGUGCCUGUUCUGCCUGUCAGCUCCAUCCCAACAGCAAUUCGUGGCUGGAGUCACAAUUCUGCCCUGGUACAGAAGUGUUAGUCAUGGACAGAGGGACACGGAGCAACUCAAUGGGGAUUGGGAUGCAAGCAGUGUGGAUGCAGUGCCUCUGCCUGCAGCCUCGUAUCAUCAGCUGACAAAGCCCUGCAGUCAUGCUGCUGUGAGCAGGGAUGCCCAAUCCUCUGAGGAGAUGCAGGUUUCAGCACCAAACCUCUGCCCGAUCCUGAUGAGCUCUCAUGGAGCACAGACCUUCGUGUUGGAGGUGGAAGAGCACCUUGUGGUGCAGUAGCUGCCAAAGCCCUGACAUCCCAAUGAGGGAUGGAUGAGAAACCCCAUCCUCGUGUCAUGCGUGAAGGCAUGGGCCAGCCGAGAGUGGGGUGACAUGGGGACGGGGCCCUGGGGACUGCUGCCACUUGGGUUAAGAUGCUCCUGUUCCUUCUUUAUAAAGCUUUUAUGCCAAGGAGUGAGGAUUUGUUGCUUCUCCCAUCCAUUUCUGUGGCUGGAGGUGCCUUGUGAAUUGUACUUCUGAGACAACCAGGUGCCCAGAACUGCUCAGGACCAUUUGUGAAACCUAUGCUGCUGGGGUUCCAUCCUGCUGCUAGUGGAGAAGGUUUGUUAGAUGAAUCCCCAGCACAGUGGGGUCAUGCCUCCUGCAGUCACUGGGUUGGUGGUAGGGCCGGAGGUUGGGAUUCUCAGCUGUGAGAAAUCCUCUAAGUCAAGGCUGAUGCUAACCUGCUGCUUCAAUAUUUGCCAACCGCUGCAUCUUGAAACUUUGCAAACAGAGCCUUGAAUACUGUCAGCAUAUUUAAAUCUAUCCUUAUUGUCCCAAAGCAUAUUUCUGGUGAGAUUUGGGCAAGAUCUGGGCAAAGAACCUCUGUUCUUUCUGCUUUGCAUCCAUCCCUGUCCUCUUUGGAGGUGACAUGCUGCUGUACCAAGGCUGUGAAUGUUUAAACUGACAGCUCCCAGCCUCAGAGCUGGCUGUAGAAGCAGAAUCCAGCUUCCUCCAUACCACUGCAUCUUGACUAGGCUGGACAGGGUGAGGGCAGGGGUUGCCCGUAAGCACCACAUUGGAGAACCCUCCCUGGAAGGAUAAGAGCUUCGAAGUCCUGCAGAGUGUGUGGGCAGCAGACUGGAGGAGAGAUCAACCAUAGAACACCAUCUCCUUCCUUGCAAAUAAGCCUCAGUCCAGCCAGCAGCAAAGCAGCAGCUGCCCUAUUUCCAGGGCUGGUGGGAGUGCAAAGCCCUCUCCUCCUCAUAUUCAUCGUUUUCAGCUGCAGAUUCAGCUGUAGCCUCCAACUGCAUCUAAGUCAGGACUGUGCCAUGCAAACGGAUGGGACUCAGGGAGCAUCCCUGCACCAUGAGCUGCUGCCAGGACCUGCUCUGUCUUUUAAUGACACACAUGUCCAUGCGUCUGCAUCUAAGCCUGUUCUUGACUUGCCCAAUACACACAGGGAUGCUGUGCUCCAUGCUUUAUGUAUGUUAACUUUUUAUUGUAUCCAGACACUCCUCCAUCACAUGCAUCAUCAGGUUGCUGAUUGCUUUCCCCGUGGUGGGCUGGAAUGUGAAAACAUUGGGCUACCAGUGUACCCAUGGACCCUGGGACACCAAUGCACUGGUGGAGAGUUAAUGAAUCACAACAUCACUUAUGCAUUAACUUCUUUGAAAUGCAAAGCACUCCCUUGAUAUUUCAGCAUUUUCCACCCGGUCCAAAGCAAAACCCGAUAGGUAGAGAACAGUGGAGAGCUGCACAAGGUAACACUUCCACCUUGUGUCUGGUACAACGAUUGCAUCAGCAUUAAUUACAAUGGAACUGGCUGCCCUUUAAAGCAAUUCAGCACAUGCUGUAUCCUCAGCUUUCCUGCUUCUGAUCGGCUCUGCACUGAACUGCUUCCUUGCAUGCAUUCAAAACAGUUUGUAAUUAACAAUCACAUUGUUUUCCUUUGAACAUCAACAGAGAUACAGAAAACAGAGAUUGAGAGCCGAGAUGUUGGUACAACUGGGUAUUAUUCUGCUUUCAUGAAAUGACUUUUCCUAUUUUGCUGCAAAUUUAGUGCUGAUGAGAAGCUGGGCCAGUGUGCAAGCAGCCGGGAGGCUUUGCUCACCAGCUCAUGGACAAAAUUCUCUCCUAUCGCUAUGGGGAAGCAGGAAAUUUGAGCUUGGAUGCCCUGUUACCUUUGCCCAUGCUGAAUGCAUUCUGAACACCACUGCCCCAUUCACAAAAUAAACUCAGCAGAAAAACCUGCAGAGAAGGAGAAGGAAAAGCAAGACUGUGCAGGCUCCUGAGCUACGCAGCGUGUUGGAGCAGAGCGGCUGCAUUUGAAGCCUUGGCUCUGUGAACAAGAAGCAGAUUACAAACUUCUUCAGUUCUGGUGCAGAGCUUGGAUGGGAGGAUUGCUCCCUCCAUCUGUUCUUCACAUAGGCAAUCUGCCUUCAAAAGCCAUCGCUGCUUAAGUAUGGAGGAAGCGUAAAUGCAGGAGCACCUGAAUAUUGUUUAACAGAUGGGGACACACAUUUUUCAGGCAGAGAUUUCCUUUCCAUUGCCCCACUUAUUUCAGAGGUGUUUUUCAGGACCAUCCUUCCAAUGCCUGGGAAUAGGAUCCCAGCCUGCAGUUUGUGGCGAUGGUAAUUAAUUUUCAGCAGCUAACUUUGCUGUGUGAACGCUCUUGUGACAUUUGUGAAAUUUGCUUUCAUCUUCUUCCCUUCCAACUAAGCUCACAUUUUUCAUCCAAGCCUUCCAGGAGGAUCACACUCUAUGCCCCACUUUCCACCCUGGGAACAAAGUGGCUGGAGUUCAUCCGUGCCAUUCUGAAACGGUCAAGCAAACCAAUAAAGCACGCAGCCAGGCUGCAGCCCAUGAAUGCCUCUGCCCACAUGCACAUCUUCUCUCCCUGCAGGAGCUGCCCUCCUGUUGAUGAUGCUCACUUGUUCUCGCCCCUUUUGCAUCAAUGCAUACAGCACAGUGGCUUUCAGCUUCAUCAACCCAAGGGCAACUACAAAUCUUCCAGUGGGAAUGCUGUCGUAGACUGCUGAGUGGCAGAAAGGAAAUUGCUUUUCUUUGCAACUUUUGGAUGAUUCCAUGCAAACAGAUGGUGGACCCCAUACCUCAGGGACUGCACAUUGAAGCCACCACCUCACUGAGUUGGUGAAACCAACAGAAAUGUGUCAUAUGGACCCCACAGAGCCCAUCUACUGGGAGAAGUCGCAGCUGGCAAAGAGGAGGAAGAAAGAAGUGAAAAUAUAGGCACAGAGGAUGGACCUCAAAUUUCUCAGUUUUCAUCUCACUUCCCCUUCCCAUUCUUUAGUCAUCAUAUUCUUUCCGGAAGAAAGUGGCUGUUGGAAAACAGAGAGAGAAGACGACAAACACUGCUGUGGAAUUAUUUAACGAGCCAGAAUGAAUUGCAUUUGAAAUCAUUUAAAUGGGAUCUGGGAGUAUUUAACUGCAGCACAGGAACUUAACAAGAGUGGGAAAGGAUUUUGUGCUAAUUGCUGGCAAUGAUAUACCUACGGAGAGAGAACAUGCAGCAAUUAGUAAGCAAGGCUGUAAUUUCAGCCUAAGGUCCCUGCCUGCCUUGGAAUAUGGCAUGGAUUAUCUGCUGAAAGGAAGACAGGGGCCUUGGAAUGCAUGUGACCAAAGGGCAGCAGAUGAGGUUCUCAUUAAGAAGUCAUUAGCCAAGAUUGUCACACAAGAGAUGGGUCUGCUCAGACCCCACUGCACCUUUCCCAACCUGACUUGGCUCAAAUUGACAAAACUGAAGGAAACCCAAAGCCCCAUCCCAACACCUGCUGUGCUGCUUUGUCCCUUCCUACUUGCAGGGACUGAUCCUGCCAUCAGCCCUUGCUCCAAGCUAUGAGUCUACACAGAGCACAGUGGGCUGAGGACCAACUUGACCAUUGCUUGCUGGGCAAGGAAGCCAGGGCAUCCUUGUUGCUUCUGGGUUUGGGAAGCAGGGUGAGCAGGAAGCUGAGCUGGAACAAGGACCUGCCCUUCCUACAGAAAUACCCAUACAGUCCAGACUGUAUGAUGCCACUGUUCCGAACCUGCAAACCUCAGGCACAAUCGAUGUUCACCAACAUGUCCAUAACCCCAACCCCAAAAGAACUGUACAACACAGCACCAGGUGAGACCAGGUGUUCUCACUAUGGGCUAAGGCAGAAAACUACCCUGCCUGGCUGAGCCUCUGCCACCUGACUGUGGCACACAGCCUCUGACAGCCUCUGCUCAUUGUUUUCUAUCUCUGUUCUCUCCCCACGAUGCCUCUGUCUUUGGUUUUUGUCUUUCAAUCAGUUUUUAUCUCAGUAAUUCCCAUUCAAUGGUUAGUCUCUGAUCUUUCUAAUUGAGAUCAGAGCUUCAUGUAAUAGGGAGGGGGGAGGGAGACUAUUUUUAAUUUGCUACGUUCCCAUUAAUAACAAGUUCUAAUUAAAAAACCUCCAUCUUCCAUCCUCCCAAGUUCAGAAGAAAACUCUGCGACUUCUGUUGGAAUCUUCUCCUGAUAAAUUGGUACCACAGCCUCCUAGAACAGCUGGUCCUCUUUAGCAGGCAUCGUAAUUAAUGGGAAUAAUAAAUGCAUUCAAAGCA